rnacentral:lncRNA from 1 species
CCAUAUAUCUGAAUGCUUGAAUUCGUACCUUGUCUGGUGGUCCAUUCAGCCAACUGAUUUUCUUAUUGAAUUUUUUUUAGAGUGAGGAUUCAAGGAGAUAGAAUAAGCGAUUAUGUGACCGAGAUUGAUCGGAUCCUGUCCCAAGGAUUACCAGAGCUACUAAUGUGUUUCUUACCCAACAACAAGCAGAUCGGUACGCGGCAAUAAAGAAGAAAUGCUACGUAGACCGCGCAGUGGCAAACCAGGUUAUAUUGGACAGAAACUACCCAAAACAAAGGCGCGCUGAGUAUUGCCACCAAGGUAGCCAUUCAAGUUAAUUGCAAGAUGGGUGGUGCUCCUUGGGCUGUGCCAGUCCCUCUGAAGGUGAGUAACUGUCUCAAAAAUAGAGCCGGUAAACUGUAAGCGUUAUCAGUUGCCAGGAGACUUGUAAGUAAAAGGGACGUAAUGCUUAAUUUCAGUUAUUUCUCAUGGUCCAGUUACACGAUCAAAUUGAGCC